rnacentral:rRNA from 1 species
GAUGAACGCUGGCGGCGUGCCUAAUACAUGCAAGUCGAGCGAACGGACGAGAAGCUUGCUUCUCUGAUGUUAGCGGCGGACGGGUGAGUAACACGUGGAUAACCUACCUAUAAGACUGGGAUAACUUCGGGAAACCGGAGCUAAUACCGGAUAAUAUUUUGAACCGCAUGGUUCAAAAGUGAAAGACGGUCUUGCUGUCACUUAUAGAUGGAUCCGCGCUGCAUUAGCUAGUUGGUAAGGUAACGGCUUACCAAGGCAACGAUGCAUAGCCGACCUGAGAGGGUGAUCGGCCACACUGGAACUGAGACACGGUCCAGACUCCUACGGGAGGCAGCAGUAGGGAAUCUUCCGCAAUGGGCGAAAGCCUGACGGAGCAACGCCGCGGGAGUGAUGAAGGUCUUCGGAUCGUAAAACUCUGUUAUUAGGGAAGAACAUAUGUGUAAGUAACUGUGCACAUCUUGACGGUACCUAAUCAGAAAGCCACGGCUAACUACGU